AUCCUAUGAUGAGGACACUUACGAAGUAACUCUUUGAAUCGCUACCAAGCCUCAUACAAAGACUCGUCAUCCAAUUGUUGGAAAUUUGCGAUCUCGUCCCUCAAUUU
rfam:Gossypium arboreum cultivar AKA8401 contig_4640_13, whole genome shotgun sequence.